CAUUUUACUAAAAGAACGACCCCUAUUUUCUUAGAAAAACGAUUCCUAUUUUCCUAAAAGAACGACCCCUAUUCUCCAACCCACAGCCCCCAUUUUCCUAAGAGAACGACCCCCUACACACACACACCAACCACGUUCCUCCCUUUCCCAACCUAGCUAACGAAACUAAUCCAUUUUUUUUUUUUUUUGUAAUAAACCUCCCCAGGUCUGACCAGAUACCCAGGCGCGUGUGUCUGCAGGAAACUGACGAUGCUCCACUGCCCUGGCAUCGGCAUCUUGGAACUUCCACAAGAUAUCGACCCAACUAUCACCGCCCUCCUCCUUCAGAACAACUCGAUCAGCCUCCGACGGAACGGCUUCAAGCGCUACCCGCGCCUCACCCUCCUCCACCUGGAAAGCAACAACCUGACCCAGCUGCCAGACGGCGCGUUCCUCGGCCUCAACCACCUGCGCCGCCUGU